rfam:Eutrema salsugineum unplaced genomic scaffold scaffold_2, whole genome shotgun sequence.
UUGGAGGUGAUGACAAUUUCCCCAAAUGAUCGAAUCUGAUUAUACUAAGCGAUUAUUAUUUCCUCUUCAUCAAGAGGAAGUCAAGCCAAUAUUCUGAUCCUU